UGCAACCUGAGCUCAGUCGUGACUACCCGCUGAACUUAAGCAUAUCACUUUAGCGGAGGAAAAAAACUAA
rnacentral:rRNA from 1 species